UUAAUUGUUAUGAUUUUUCAAACAAACUGUACCAACAGCGAAUUUUCCAAAAACCUGGAAGUUUCAUGUACUCACUUUCCAGGACUGUUAUUGUUGUGUUAAGUUGAUAAUUUGGGCUCAAGGUCUUCAGUGAACCUGUAGACAUUGAUGUUAGCUUUAAUUCGAUAUAUCGUUUAGGUUAUUCGGAUAAGUAAGGUGAUCGUUACGAUUGUUCGAAUAAGCUGUGGCAGCAAGACAUUCGUAACAAAUGUUUCAAGAAAUUGACUAUGUGGUAUAGUGGAAUAAUACGAUUAUAUUAGCAUUUGGAAUCUUGUUAAGUGAUGAAUAUGUUUAUAGGUGUCGAGCGUACUAAAGCUCUCAUUCAAGACUUGAGCAUGACUCGAGAGUAAGGUGUUCUUAUAGCACUUGCAUUGGACUUCAGGUGAGGAUCUCUAUUUCUUCACUAUUAUUUAUUGGAAAAAUAGAAUGCACACUGAGAAUAAGAUAUUUUAUUACUUCUUGAUCACUUAAAUGUGAUAUAUCUUACUUGUUGCCUAUCGUAUUAUAUUUUGAUUCUUGAAUUGUUGAAAAUAAUGAUUUAUUCGGAAUUCUCUUAAUGGUUCGUAUCUUCUUCCUCGAACUAUUAAAACAAGUUCUCAUCUUGAUUCGAGACUUAUUCCAAUAAUUUAUUAUUCAGAUUCUUUGACUACUCAAUCAAGCUCUUUUAUCGAUUCUUCAAUAAUUUGGAGUUUCAGUCUGAUACUCAAUCAAUUGUGAAUUGUUUCACAUAUUGACUUAUACAAUAGUUGGAACCACUUCUUCCAUUAUGAUUCAGUAAAUCAUUUGAUUUGUUUCUACGGUGGUUCAAUGAACGUAAAUUGUUCUUUUCCCGACUCUUGGACCAUUUAGGAUUAUUGUAUUUAUCCACUAAAUCAUUCGUUCCAUACCUACUGUGAAUUGAUGGAUCGUUCAUAUCUUGACUUCCCAUUGAUCCUUUGAAACCACUUGUCUUUCGAGCUAUACAACUACAUAUUCUAUUUUAACCGUAGACUAUUGGUGACUGAGAUCCAUCUUCAUCAAUUGUUAUGCGAUCUUGAAUUGUGGUCACUCUCUUAUUGAAACCAUUGAUCGUACCCUUCUUGACUUGGGAUUUUGUGACCACAAGAUAUUAUCACUUGUUAUUGGAAUCCCACAAUCGUUGAACUGUGAUAUUGGCUCUUUCCAAAGUGGAAUUCAUUAUGGGGAUUCAAAAUGUAAAUUGAGAUAGUCGGAAGCAUAUCCGUAUCUCUAUAUUAUUGAUUCCUUUGGGGACGCCCUAAGGAUAAUUGACCAGUUGUGCCCGGGGCUGUUCGAAAAAAGACUUUUGGGCGGUAUUGGGCCGACGGUGGAUGGUCUCUUCGACAGUACCCAUAUUGGAUCUAGACCAUUGGCAUAGUUGGAGGUUAACUGUGCUGAUGGAUGGAUCGGCAUGCGCCCGGGCAUGCCUAUUGAUCAAUUAGCAGGGUCAUUCCCUGAUUGGGGUUAUAAGGUAGUAACGACUAAGGGAGUCACAAGGCUGGUACAGGUACAUGAACAAAUUGUUACCAUGGGAAUCUCCAUGGUCUCAUAUUUGAUAUCCGAAAUAGUUAUCGUGGGAAUCUCCACGAAAUUCAUAAUUGAUAUCCGGGAAUUACCCAUUGAAUAUAGUUCUUCACCUAUACAUAUUGAUUAUAUUGUCGAUUCUGAUCAUAUUGAUGUGCCUUAUACUUUGACCUCUUAUUCCUUAUCGAACGAUCAUUCUCUAGAUGGUCCAAUUCCAACUUCAAUUCCUUGAACGCUUAUAUUGUGAUUAUUAUUUGAUUCGACUGUUUUUCCCUCGUACUCCUCACUAAGUCCACUUGGACUUACUCCUCCUUUAUUUUCCUUCUUAUUCUCAGUGGCGGGUGCAUUAGUGGACGAUUAUGUUGAAGGCUCUUAGGAGUAAAAGUUAUUCAAAGAUUUUAGAGAGUUUAAUCUAGUGUUGAAUCUAGUGUUGUGUUUAAGAAUGAUUGUAAUUCGAGAACUAUGAAUACGAGAUUAGUUGUGGCAUUUGGUUGUCACGUGUAUUUGAUAUUAUUGUUCAGAAAUUAAGUAAGAGACAUUGUAUUUAUCGGAAGUCAUUGUAUUUAUUUAUUGUAAAGGAAAAAAAAAAAAAAGUACAGUGUAUUUCGGUAGUGGGCGUCACA
rnacentral:lncRNA from 1 species